rnacentral:rRNA from 1 species
AUUGAACGCUGGCGGCAGGCCUAACACAUGCAAGUCGAGCGGAUGAAGGGAGCUUGCUCCUGGAUUCAGCGGCGGACGGGUGAGUAAUGCCUAGGAAUCUGCCUGGUAGUGGGGGAUAACGUCCUGAAACGGGCGCUAAUACCGCAUACGUCCUGCGGGAGAAAGUGGGGGAUCUUCGGACCUCACGCUCUCAGAUGAGCCUAGGUCGGAUUAGCUAGCUGGUGGGUUAAAGGCCUACUUAGCCGACGAUCCGUAACUAGUCUGAGAGGAUGAUCAGCCACACUAGAACGGGGACGCGGUCCAGGCGACUGAGGGACGGAGCAGUGGGGAAUAGUAGACAAUGGGCGAAAGCCUGAUCCAGCCGGGCCGCGUGUGUGAAGAAGGUCUUCGGAUUGUGAAGCACUUUAAGUUGGGGGGAACGGCAGUAAGUUAAUACCUUGCUGUUUUGACGUUACCAACAGAAUAAGCACCGGCUAACUUCAUG